CCAGGACUUCAGAUCAGACAUGGCAUCCUGCUGAAUUUAAGCAUAUUACUAAGCGAAGGAAAAGAAACUAACCAGGAUUCCCUCAGUAACAGGAAGUGAAGAGGGAAGAGCCCAGUGCCAAAUCCCUAUCCAGCGGUGGGUGCAGGAAAUGUGGCCUGCAGGAGACUGACUCCCUGGUGUCACUCGAGGCUCACCCCACGGAGGGUGUUAGCCCAGCAGCAGCCGAUGGCAUGCCGGGGUCGGCUCUUCUCAGAGUCGGGUUGCUUGGGAAUUCAGCCCAAAGCAGGUGGUACACUCCAUCUAAGGCUAAAUAUGGCCAGGAGACCGAUAUCCAACAAGUACUGUAAGGGAAAGUUGAAAAUAACUUUGAAGAGAAAGUGGACGUGAAACCUUUGAGAGGUAAAUGGGUGGGUCCUUUCAGUCCACCCAAAGGAAUCAACAUGCCGUGCAGGCAGGUCACCCGGAACAACGGGACCACCGCCAGAGGCACCCCGGUCCCUGCUGGGAGCCUUUCCUCCGUGGUGGUGCAGAUUGGUCACCCGAAUGAUGGAACCCCUCGUGUGUACAUGACGCAGGCACAUGACAUGGCCGCAGGGUAAAUUUCCUCCAUGUUGGAGCACCCUGACAGGCUCUGAGUCAGGUGGGAAGGCCCGAGGGUAUGGCUCUCUGCUCCAUAGGAAAGUAUUACAGACCUGUAGCAGCAGUUUGUCAAGUCUGCGGAGUAGAGGGAGAUUGAACGCCACCUUGCACUUAUCCGGCAACCGUACCGGCACCUCUCGGGCUCGUGAGGCAGCGACAGGGAUGGGACCCCCUGCUCCCAGUGCAACUGACGACUGGAAUGGACUUUCCUAAGUGAGCCCUGACCGCAUUGUGCCUGUGGUGAUGUUGGUACCCACCCGACCUGUCUUGAAACACAGACCAAGGAGUCUAACAUGUGCGCAAGAUGGAGAGCCAAACGAAACUGUGUGGUACAAUGAAGGUGAGGUCUGGCGAAUGCUGACUGAGGUGGGAUCCAUAGCAGUGACACGGCAGACACACCACUGGUUCAUCCGCCCUCUCUGUCGGGGAGGUGGAGUAUGAAUGUGUGUGAUAUAGAUGGUGAAUUAUGAUGGUGAAUUAUGCCUGGGCAGGGCAAAACCAGAGGAAACUCUGGUGGAGGUCUGUAGCAGUCCUGACGUGCAAAUCGGUCAUCCGACCUGGGUAGAAUGGCGAAAAGGCUAAUGAAGCCAUCCAGUAGCUGGUUCCCUCUGAAGAUUCCCUCAGGCCAGCUGGCGCUUGGAAACCUCAGUUUUAUCUGGUAAAGCAAAGGAUUAGAAGCCUUGGGACUGAAACGAUCUCCACCUAUUCUCAAACUUUAAAUGUGUAAGAAACCCGGCUAAUUGCAUCGAGCCAGGCAUUGACUGAGAGUGCCCAGCGGGCACUUUUGGUAAGCAGGACUGGUGCUGCAGGAUGAACCAAAUGCCAGGUUAGAGCGCCCGAUGCUGACGCUCAUUAGACCUCAGGAAAGUGUUGCUUGAUAUAGACAGCAGGGUGGUGGCCAUGAAGUCAGAGUGUGUAACAACUCACCUACCUAAUCAACUAGCCAUGAAAAUUGAUGGCCAUGGACAUCAAGCCUAUACCCGGUUGUCGAUGGUGCUGAGACUUUUGGUGCUAAGCCACGGUGAGUAGGGCCACUGUGGUGUGCAUUGAAACAUAUGGCGAGGGCUGCGUUUGGAGCUACUGCAGGUACAGAUCUUGGUGUUAGUAGCAAAUAUUCAAAUGUGAACUUUGAAUGCCGAAGUGGAGAAGGGUUCUAUUUGAACAGCAGUUGAACGUGGGUUAGUCACUUCUGAAAGAUGGGCAAUUGGCAUUCAGAGGGGACAGGCGAUGGCCUCUGUUGCCUCAGCCGAUCAAAGUGAGUCGGGUCAGAUCCCCAAACCCAGAGUAGUGGUGACUGGCACCCUUGUGGCAUUCUGUGCAGUAAUGCAAACGAUCCCAGUGAAGCUGACGGAACCCCAGGGGGAGUUCUCUUUUCUUUAUGAAGAGUGCCCUGAAAUGGGUUUGCCGUGAGAAGUUGCAGUUCAAGCGGUGUCCGGUGAGCUCUUGCAUGGUCUUUGAAAAUCCAGAGAAGAUGGUGUAAAUGUCGUGCCGGGCCGUACCCAUAUCUGCAGCAGAUCUCCAAGGGCACCAGCCUCUGCUAUAUUGGAAAAAUUUAGGAAAGUGAAGUCGACAAGCCAGAUCUGUUACUUCGAGAUAAGUAUUUGCUAUAAGGGCUAGGUUGUUCGGGAUGGGGCACGAAGUGGGGUUCAGUGUGCACCAUGCUGGAUGAGGUGUCUCCCUCCCCCCGGGGAGGCACCGACUCUGGAUGCGAGCCUAGCACUUCCUGUGGAUCGCCUAAGCUAUGGUGGUCACCUCUUUCCAUUCCCCUGCCGGGGUUCAGGGCUUAUGUUCUGCCUCAGCCGACGCCUAGCAGCUGACUUAGAAUUGGUGCGGACAAGAAGAAUCCGACUUUUAAGGAAAACAAAGCAUUGCGAAUGCCGCAACAUGUGUUGACGCAAUGUGAUUUCUGUCCAGUCCUAUUAAUGUCAAAGUGAAGAAAUUCAAUGAAGCACGGGUAAACGGCAGGAGUAACUUUGACUCUCUUAAGGUAGCCAAAUUCAUCAUCAUCUAAUUAGUGAAGUGCAUGAAUGGAUCAACAAGAUUCCCACUGUGCCUACCUACAACCUAGCAAAUUGCAAAACCACAGCCAAGGAACAGGGUUGGCAGAAUCAGUGGGAAAGAAGACCCACGUGAGUUUGUCUCUAGUCUGGCACUGUGAAGAGACAUGAGAGAUGUUGGAUAAGUGAUUGACCCUUGGCCACCAGUGAAAUACCACUACUCGUAUUCUAUUUUCACUUACCCAGUGAGGCAGGGGGCGAGCUCCGUUGGGCUCUUGCUUCUGGCUUCAAGCACCCAGAGCCUGCUGGGCAUGCCCCGCUCCAGGGACAGUGGCAGGUGGCAGUUUGACUAGGGUGGUACACCUGUCAGACGAUAAAGCAGGUGUCCUAAUGUCGAACGGAAAAUCAUUAUUAUACCCUCUUGAUCGUAUAUAUAUAUAUAUAUUAAUAUAUAUAUAUAUAUAUAUAUAUAUAUAGUAUAUAUAUAUAUAUAUAUAUAUAUAUAUUGGCCUAGGCCAAGUCGCUCUGCGAGGAAA
rnacentral:rRNA from 1 species